UGGUACAGCCUGGACCUCUCUCCCCCUCUCCCAGCUUGCCUUGCCUUGCAGAUCAGUCUCUCCCCGGCUCGGUCUCUCUGCAUAGGCAAUCACAGCUCCUACUCGCAGACCCAACUCUCCCUCUUGCACUGAUUGUAAUUAAUUUUCUGCCUGAAUGUAGGUUGCUGACAAGCGAGAACACGAGUUUCUUUCAGAUCCAGUGUUGUUGUUUUUCCUAUUGUUAUUUUUAAUUUUUACCCCCUUCAUGGUCGUUGCAUUCCUUUGGAGAAGCAAAUCGCGUUGGAUUCCAAAAAGGAAAGUAAGGACCUUGUGUGAAUAAUCCCGGCUGCAUGAUACCCUGAGAGGAUUUCCUGAAAGAAUCUGGCUGUGUUAAAAAGACCGUUAUGCUUCUGCAGCUUUUCCAGUGUUAAGGAAAAACUUGUGCUAUAACUGAAAUGACAAUAUGCUGCUUCCUAUGCGGGGAUUCUGAAGGCUUCUCAAAAACACAGCACAGUGGUGGCAAUGCAGUUGGAUAUAUUUAACACCUUUACCUAAAGGUGUUAAAAGUAUAAUUUCAGUGCAGGAAGUCAAACUAUUUGUAGAAAUGUCUUAGAACUGAAAAUUAUUAUUUGAGUCCGAAG